rnacentral:rRNA from 1 species
CAGCACGUCCGGCUGCGGAGCCGCGUGCACGACACGUACUACCUCCACGCCGACGACGACGGGGAGAGCGUCUCCAUCAGCCGCCGUCGGUACUCGCUGAACGCGGCGUGGACGGUGCACAUCUACCACGGCGACGGCUCGCACCUGCUCCUCCACGGUGCCGCUUACGGCCGCUACCUCGCGGCCGCGGCCAAGCCGGCGCCGUUCGGACACCACGGCUUCCGCGCCGAGCAGCGCGACUACGACGAGCCGGUUCUGGCGGCCAUCAUGUGGCAGGCCGUCGACGCGGGCUCCGGGGACGGCGUCCUGCUCCGCAACAUCGGCGGCCGCUACCUCCGCGCCAGCGGCAAGUUACGCAGGUACCUCCGGUGGAACGCCCGCGUCGGCGUCGAGUACACCGACAACGUC